rnacentral:rRNA from 1 species
AACGAACGCUGGCGGCAUGCCUAACACAUGCAAGUCGAACGAGAGCUUCGGCUCUAGUGGCGCACGGGUGCGUAACGCGUGGGAAUCUGCCCUUGGGUUCGGAAUAACAGUUGGAAACGACUGCUAAUACCGGAUGAAGUCGAUAAGACCAAAGAUUUAUCGCCCGAGGAUGAUCCCGCGUCGGAUUAGCUAGUUGGUGGGGUAAAGGCCUACCAAGGCGACGAUCCGUAGCUGGUCUGAGAGGAUGAUCAGCCACACUGGGACUGAGACACGGCCCAGACUCCUACGGGAGGCAGCAGUGGGGAAUAUUGGACAAUGGGCGCAAGCCUGAUCCAGCAAUGCCGCGUGAGUGAUGAAGGCCUUAGGGUUGUAAAGCUCUUUUACCCGGGAAGAUAAUGACUGUACCGGGAGAAUAAGCCCCGGCUAACUCCGUGCCAGCCGCCGCUGUAA